UACGUAGGGACCAAGCGUUGUUCGGAUUUACUGGGCGUAAAGGGCGCGUAGGCGGCAUGACAAGUCACUUGUGAAAUCUCUGGGCUUAACCCAGAACGGCCAAGUGAUACUGUCGCGCUAGAGUGCAGAAGGGGCAAUCGGAAUUCUCGGUGUAGCGGUGAAAUGCGUAGAUAUCGAGAGGAACACCAGAGGUGAAGACGGGUUGCUGGGCUGACACUGACGCUGAGGCACGAAAGCUAGGGGAGCAAACAGG
rnacentral:rRNA from 1 species